rnacentral:rRNA from 1 species
UACGUAGGGCGCAAGCGUUGUCCGGAAUUAUUGGGCGUAAAGAGCUUGUAGGCGGUUUGUCGCGUCUGCUGUGAAAAUCCGGGGCUCAACCCCGGACUUGCAGUGGGUACGGGCAGACUAGAGUGUGGUAGGGGAGACUGGAAUUCCUGGUGUAGCGGUGAAAUGCGCAGAUAUCAGGAGGAACACCGGUGGCGAAGGCGGGUCUCUGGGCCGAUACUGACGCUGAGGAGCGAAAGCGUGGGGAGCAAACGGG